rnacentral:lncRNA from 1 species
AGAAACUGUAGUGAUGCAUUGCAUUAUCCAGUUUAUCCAUGUUGCAUGAAAGCCUAGUCUUUGUAGAACAUAUGAGACAAAAUUCCACUCAAUUAUGUCUUACGCUUUCGACAUAUCUGUCUUUACAGCCAUAUUACAGUUCUUUUCUACCUUUGAUCUCUUUAGGAAGUGUAGCACCUCAUAAGUGAUCAAAACGUUGUCUGUUAUAGCCCUUCUCGGA